rnacentral:tRNA from 1 species
GGCGUCGUGGCCGAGUGGCUAGGCGGAGCUCUGCAAAAGCUUAUACAGCGGUUCGAAUCCGCUCGACGCCU